rnacentral:tRNA from 1 species
GCACUUAGUAUAGCUCACCUGGUAGAGCAUAAGACUCUUAAUCUCAGGGUCAUGGGUUUGAGUCCCACGUCGGGCA